UACGUAGGGUGCAAGCGUUAAUCGGAAUUACUGGGCGUAAAGCGUGCGCAGGCGGUUUUGUAAGUCUGUCGUGAAAGCCCCGGGCUCAACCUGGGAAUUGCGAUGGAGACUGCAAGGCUUGAAUCUGGCAGAGGGGGGUAGAAUUCCACGUGUAGCAGUGAAAUGCGUAGAGAUGUGGAGGAACACCGAUGGCGAAGGCAGCCCCCUGGGUCAAGAUUGACGCUCAUGUACGAAAGCGUGGGGAGCAAACAGG
rnacentral:rRNA from 1 species